rnacentral:rRNA from 1 species
UACAGAGGUGGCAAGCGUUGUUCGGAAUUACUGGGCGUAAAGGGCGCGUAGGCGGCCUUCUAAGUCAGACGUGAAAUCCCCAGGCUCAACCUGGGAACUGCGUCCGAUACUGGAUGGCUUGAAUCCGGGAGAGGGAUGCAGAAUUCCAGGUGUAGCGGUGAAAUGCGUAGAUAUCGGGAGGAACACCAGUGGCGAAGGCGGCUCACCUGGACCGGAACUGACGCUGAGGCGCGAAAGCGUGGGGAGCAAACAGG